ensembl:snRNA U4 U4 spliceosomal RNA
AGCUUUGCACAGUGGCAGUGUUGUAGCCAAUGAGGUUUAUCCAAGGCCCGAUUAUUGCUAAUUGAAAACUUUUCCCAAUACCCCGCCAUGAGGACUGGAAAUAUAGUCGGCAUUGGAAAUUUUUGCCAGUCUCUAUGGGGU